rnacentral:rRNA from 1 species
CCUACGUGUGGCAGCAGUGAGGAAUAUUGGUCCAUGGGCGCGCGCCUGAACCCGCCAAGUCGCGUGAGGGAAGACGGUCCUAUGGAUUGUAAACCUCUUUUGUCGGGGCGCAAAAGACGCCACGCGUGGCGUUCCGCGAGUACCCGAAGAAAAAGCAUCGGCUAACUCCGUGCCAGCAGCCGCGGUAAUACGUGGUAUGCGAUCGUUCUCCGGAUUUAUUGGGGGUAAAGGGUGCGCAGGCGGAAGAUCAAGUCGGCGGUAAAAUUGAGAGGCUCAACCUCUUCGAGCCGUUGACACUGGUUUUCUUGAGUGAGCGAGAAGUAUGCGGAAUGCGUGGGGUAGCGGUGAAAGGCAUAGAUAUCACGCAGAACUCCGAUUGCGAAGGCAGCAUACCGGCGCUCAACUGACGCUCAUGCACGAAAGUGUGGGUAUCGAACAGGAUUAGAUACCCGUGUAGUC